CUAAGAGGGUUGAGGAAAACCUUUUCUUCACCUAUAGCAGUAAUCUGGAAAAGACAAAAAGGGGCUUCUGGAGUAUUGACUCCAUGCCCAGUGCGGAGCACAACAUGGGACUUGAACUCACCACCCUGAGAUCAAGACCUGAGCUGAGAGCAAGAGUCACAUGGUCAACCGAUUGCACCACCCAGUUAAAUGACUCCAUUUCCUUCUGGAUGGAGGAAUUUGUGCAA